rnacentral:rRNA from 1 species
ACACCGGCAGCUCAAGUGGUAGCCGCUUUCAUUGGGCCUAAAGCGUCCGUAGCCGGUCUGAUAGGUCUCUGGUGAAAUCCCACAGCUUAACUGUGGGAAUUGCUGGAGAUACUAUCAUGACUCGAGGUCGGGAGAGGCUGGAGGUACUCCCAGGGUAGGGGUGAAAUCCUGUAAUCCUGGGAGGACCACCUGUGGCGAAGGCGUCCAGCUGGAACGAACCUGACGGUGAGGGACGAAAGCCAGGGGCGCGAACCGGAUUAGAUACCCGGGUAGUCCUGGCCGUAAACGAUGUGGACUUGGUGUUGGGAUGGCUUCGAGCUGCCCCAGUGCCGAAGGGAAGCUGUUAAGUCCACCGCCUGGGAAGUACGGCCGCAAGGCUGAAACUUAAAGGAAUUGGCGGGG